rnacentral:rRNA from 1 species
UCUGUUUGAUCCUGGCUCAGGAUGAACGCUAGCGGCAGGCCUAACACAUGCAAGUCGAACGGCAGCGGGAAGGAGCUUGCUCCUUUGCCGGCGAGUGGCGCACGGGUGCGUAACGCGUAUACAACCUACCUUAUACAGGGGUAUAGCCCAGGGAAACUUGGAUUAACACCCCAUAGUAAUAUGUUUUGGCAUCAUUACAUAUUUAAAACUACGGUGGUAUAAGAUGGGUAUGCGUCCCAUUAGCUUGUUGGUGUGGUAACGGCACACCAAGGCAACGAUGGGUAGGGGCCCUGAGAGGGGGAUCCCCCACACUGGUACUGAGACACGGACCAGACUCCUACGGGAGGCAGCAGUGAGGAAUAUUGGACAAUGGAGGCAACUCUGAUCCAGCCAUGCCGCGUGCAGGAAGACUGCCCUAUGGGUUGUAAACUGCUUUUAUACGGGAAGAAACCCACCUACGUGUAGGUGGCUGACGGUACCGUAAGAAUAAGGACCGGCUAACUCCGUGCCAGCAGCCGCGGUAAUACGGAGGGUCCGAGCGUUAUCCGGAAUCAUUGGGUUUAAAGGGUCCGCAGGCGGCCAGAUAAGUCAGUGGUGAAAUUCCGUGGCUCAACCACGGAACUGCCAUUGAUACUGUUUGGCUUGAAUCAGUUCGAGGAUGCCGGAAUGUGUGGUGUAGCGGUGAAAUGCAUAGAUAUCACACAGAACACCAAUUGCGAAGGCAGGUGUCCAGAACUGUAUUGACGCUGAUGGACGAAAGCGUGGGUAGCGAACAGGAUUAGAUACCCUGGUAGUCCACGCCGUAAACG